ACAUGCAAGUCGAGCGCCCCGCAAGGGGAGCGGCAGACGGGAGAGUAACACGUGGGAACGUACCCUUCAGUUCGGAACAACCCAGGGAAACUUGGGCUAAUACCGAAUACGUCCGUAAGGAGAAAGAUUUAUCGCUGAAGGAUCGGCCCGCGUCUGAUUAGCUAGUUGGUGGGGUAACGGCCCACCAAGGCGACGAUCAGUAGCUGGUCUGAGAGGAUGAUCAGCCUCACUGGGACUGAGACACGGCCCAGACUCCUACGGGAGGCAGCAGUGGGGAAUAUUGGACAAUGGGCGCAAGCCUGAUCCAGCCAUGCCGCGUGGAUGAUGAAGGCCCUAGGGUUGUAAAGUCCUUUCGGCGGGGAAGAUAAUGACAGUACCCGCAGAAGAAGCCCCGGCUAACUUCGUGCCAGCAGCCGCGGUAAUACGAAGGGGGCUAGCGUUGCUCGGAAUCACUGGGCGUAAAGCGCACGUAGGCGGACUCUUAAGUCGGUGGUGAAAUCCUGGAGCUCAACUCCAGAACUGCCUCCGAUACUGGGAGUCUUCGA
rnacentral:rRNA from 1 species